rnacentral:rRNA from 1 species
UACGGAGGAUGCAAGCGUUAUCCGGAAUUAUUGGGCGUAAAGCGUCCGUAGGUGGCUUUACAAGUCAGCUGUUAAAGCGCGGAGCUUAACUCCAUAAAGGCAGUUGAAACUGUGAGGCUAGAGUGCGGUAGGGGUAAGGGGAAUUCCCAGUGUAGCGGUGAAAUGCGUAGAUAUUGGGAAGAACACCGGCGGCGAAAGCGCCUUGCUGGACCUGCACUGACACUGAGGGACGAAAGCUAGGGGAGCGAAAGGG